rnacentral:tRNA from 1 species
UCAGAUAUAUUUUAUUAGAAUUUUAAUUUUGGAGAUUAAGGGUAUGUUUAUAACUUUAUCUGAA